CACAUAAAUUUCCCCUCCCCCYUUUAGAGCAAUUCAAAUAAGGUACAGCCUAUUUGACACAGGACCCAACCUUUACUAACGGGUAAUAUUAGUUUAUAUUUACAAGUAGGCCUAAAAGCAGCCACCUUUUAAAAAGCGUCAGAGCUUAACCACACGUACUCUAAUUUCUUAACCUAUCUAGACCCCUUCAACUGUACUGAGAACUUCUAUAAUACUAUAGAACCUUUUAUGCUAAAACUAGUAACAAGAGGCAACCCCUCUCCCCAAUGCAAAUUAAAGCCAGCAAGAAUCCACCACUGGCAACCAACAGGUCUAAACAAAAGUAGCAACUUCACUAGAAAACCCCACUUCCCACAACUGUUAACCUAACACCAGAGCAUUUCAAGAAAGAUUAAAAGAAAAAGAAGGAACUCGGCAAACAUUAGCCCCGCCUGUUUACCAAAAACACCGCCUCUUGCCCACAUAAGAGGUCCAGCCUGCCCAGUGACUCUUGUUCAACGGCCGCGGUAUCCUAACCGUGCAAAGGUAGCGUAAUCACUUGUCUUCCAAAUAAAGACCAGUAUGAAAGGCAUCACGAGGACUAAACUGUCU
rnacentral:rRNA from 1 species